rnacentral:rRNA from 1 species
UACGAAGGGGGCUAGCGUUGCUCGGAAUCACUGGGCGUAAAGCGCACGUAGGCGGACUCUUAAGUCGGUGGUGAAAUCCUGGAGCUCAACUCCAGAACUGCCUUCGAUACUGAGAGUCUCGAGUCCGGGAGAGGUGAGUGGAACUGCGAGUGUAGAGGUGAAAUUCGUAGAUAUUCGCAAGAACACCAGUGGCGAAGGCGGCUCACUGGCCCGGUACUGACGCUGAGGCGCGAUAGCAUGGGGAGCAAACAGG